rnacentral:rRNA from 1 species
CCUACGGGAGACAGCAGUGAGGAAUAUUGCUCAAUGGGCGAGAGCCUGAUCCAGCCAAGUCGCGUGAGGGAUGAAGGAACUAUGGUUUGUAAACUUCAUUUAUAUGGGAAUAAAGUGAGGAACGUGUUCCUUUUUGUAUGUACCAUAUGAAUAAGCAUCGGCUAACUCCGUGCCAGCAGCCGCGGUACUACGGAGGAUGUGAGCGUUAUCCGGAUUUAGUGGGUUUAAAUGGUGCGUAGGUGGUUAGUUAAGUCAGCGGUGAAAGGUUGUGGCUCAACCAUAACAUUGCCGGUGAAACUGGUUGACUUGAGUAUAUGUGAGGUAAGCGGAAUGCGUGGUGUAGCGGGGAAAUGCAUAGAUAUCACGCAGAACUCCGAUUGCGAAGGCAGCUUACUAAACUAUAACUGACACUGAGGCACGAAAGCGUGGGGAUCAAACAGGAUUAGAGACCCUUGUAGUC